rnacentral:rRNA from 1 species
GCCUCAGGCCGAUCAGCCUGAAGGCGCCCGAUCUCGUCUGAUCUCGGAAGCUAAGCAGGGUCGGGCCUGGUUAGUAUCUUGGAUGGGAGACCACCUGGGAAUCCCGGGUGCUCGAGGCU